rfam:Methylobacterium extorquens AM1, complete genome.
CGGCCUGGGCCUGCUGCGGCGAGAUGAAGUGGACGUGGGCGUCGAUGCCGCCCGCGGUCAGGAUGAGGUGCUCGCCGGAAAUGGCGUCCGUGCCCGGUCCGAGCGCGAGCCCCCGUGUCACCCCCGACAUCGUCGAGGGAUUGCCGGCCUUCCCGAUUCCGACGAUCAGGCCGUUCUUGAUGCCGAGAUCGGCCUUGAUGACGCCCUGGACCGCGUCGAGGAUCGUGACAUUGGUGAUGACGAGAUCCGGUGCGCCCGCCGCACUGGUCAACUCGUUGUCGUAACCCAUGCCAUCCCG